AGUGAACGCUGGCGGUAGGCCUAACACAUGCAAGUCGAACGGCAGCACAGUAAGAGCUUGCUCUUACGGGUGGCGAGUGGCGGACGGGUGAGGAAUACAUCGGAAUCUACUUUUUCGUGGGGGGUAACGUAGGGAAACUUACGCUAAUACCGCAUACGACCUACGGGUGAAAGCAGGGGAUCUUCGGACCUUGCGCGAUUGAAUGAGCCGAUGUCGGAUUAGCUAGUUGGCGGGGUAAAGGCCCACCAAGGCGACGAUCCGUAGCUGGUCUGAGAGGAUGGUCAGCCACACUGGAACUGAGACACGGUCCAGACUACUACGGAAGGCAGCAGUGGGGAAUAUUGGACAAUGGGCGCAAGCCUGAUCCAGCCAUACCGCGUGGGUGAAGAAGGCCUUCGGGUUGUAAAGCCCUUUUGUUGGGAAAGAAAAGCAGCAGGUUAAUACCCCGCUGUUCUGACGGUACCCAAAGAAUAAGCACCGGCUAACUUCGUG
rnacentral:rRNA from 1 species